AUUCACCACACCACUAGAAAAAGAAAAAUCUCAAUUCUUGAAAGAGGACAUAUACCAGCACACACAUCACCAAUAAGGGAUCUUCUUCCAUUUGGACCCUCAAGAACAUCAUACACAACUUCCAUGAAACACAUAACGCACACACUCACCUCACCAUAGUCCCGACAGAUUCCACACAACACGGACCUCUCGCGAUACUCCAUUUUUCUUUCUUCUCUUCUCUUCUAGAGGGAAAAUGCACCAAUACACGUACAGCUCAUGAUAGAGAUCGAGAGAGUGAGAGAUCUCAAGAGAGAGAUAGAGAAAUAGUGAGAAGAGGAGAGUUGAUCGGGGAAUGAGAGAAGUGAAUCGCAGAGAAGGGAAUUGGGGAAAAAGGGGGAAAUCCACCAGAGCUUGAUCGAAAAUCCACUUUCACCGUGAAUCCGAUUUGAAUUCUCUGAGAUUUGGGACUGCCGAGAUCGCUGGAGCUCCGGCCAAACCAAAAACGUGAUUCCAGUUCAAGACCCGACCCUCGUUCUGUUUCUUCGGCAAGUCCCGCCGGAAAACGACGCGAAAAAUGGGUAUGGGCUUUCCCCGUUCGUGAUUCUGGUACUGGUUUGCCAAAAACAGUGAAAUACCGAGGCUGCAUUGAUUUGGAUUGAGGUUGGUCGAGGCUUGUUGGUUCGUGAGCUCCAAUCCAUUGUUCGGAAUAAAUCAAUUAUUGAGAGUUGUUAAAAGGAAUUGUUCAAAGUCAUAUUCUAGAGCCCAGUUGUGAUCCUGUCUCUUUAAGGGUUCACCAUUCUUAUGGAUCAAGAAGAUCCAUGGCUACUACACUUCAUGGAUCAGUAAAAUGUCUAGGCGAUUGGAUGAAACUCUCCGAGAUUUGGGUCAAUACUGACAAUGUUAGAGAAGCUCUUCAUGUUUGAAAGGUACGGAAACAUAAAAAGAAAAAUCUGAAUGGUGAUGUAUUAUAAGCAUGGCGAAACAGGCUCUAAGUAACGAGUGAUAUAUAUCAACCAUAGGGGACAAGCGGAAAAAAUGGGAACAAUGCAGGAGCAACUUGCCUUUUACACGAAAUGUCAACAACAGUAUACCGUAUCAUGCAUAUUAUAUCACUAAAGGCUUGAGAUCUCUUAUUUACAGGGAGCUGGACAUACAGCUCAAAAUUGGGCACCUGCUGAAUGUCUAGUCAUGCUAAAGAGGUAGUUAUCAAAUGAACCGCUCUAGUUGAUCUGAAAAUCUUAAUCAACUACAUGUUCAGAGGGAAGCAAAUCAAGUAGCUGAUGUCUUGGCAAAACACAGAUGCAAACAUUACCAAUUUUGUGGUUCGGAAGGACUUUUAUUGCAAUUCUUUUAUUUUGAACGGUUUAAGAACUAUUUUCAAUAAAAGAAUGUCGUUUUAUAAUGGAAUAUCCAAGUCUGGAGGAUGAGUUGUUGAAGCUACGGUAUUCUGAAGCUAAGAUAUUGUUGCAAAGCUCGAGUAUGGUUCAUGAAUUAUUUUUCUUCUCUAUCAUGACGAAUCAAUUGAUCUGAUAUGGACAUUCCCUUUUUCUUUGUCAUUCCUUUUUAUUUUGUCCUAUCACUAAUAAGCACUCAAGAUCUGAAGCAUCCCUUUUCCAUUCAUAGAGAAAGUCAAUUGUCAAGAUCAAUAAAAAAGGGCAUCAUGAACCAA